rnacentral:rRNA from 1 species
UGGGGAAUUUUGGACAAUGGGCGAAAGCCUGAUCCAGCAAUGCCGCGUGUGUGAAGAAGGCCUUCGGGUUGUAAAGCACUUUUGUCCGGAAAGAAAUCCUUGGCUCUAAUACAGUCGGGGGAUGACGGUACCGGAAGAAUAAGCACCGGCUAACUACGUGCCAGCAGCCGCGGUAAUACGUAGGGUGCAAGCGUUAAUCGGAAUUACUGGGCGUAAAGCGUGCGCAGGCGGUUUGCUAAGACCGAUGUGAAAUCCCCGGGCUCAACCUGGGAACUGCAUUGGUGACUGGCAGGCUAGAGUAUGGCAGAGGGGGGUAGAAUUCCACGUNUAGCAGUGAAAUGCGUAGAGAUGUGGAGGAAUACCGAUGGCGAAGGCAGCCCCCCUGGGCCAAUACUGACGCUCAUGCACGAAAGCGUGGGGAGCAAACAGGAUUAGAUACCCUGGUAGUCCACGCCCUAAACGAUGUCAACUAGUUGUUGGGGAUUCAUUUCCUUAGUAACGUAGCUAACGCGUGAAGUUGACCGCCUGGGGAGUACGGUCGCAAGAUUAAAACUCAAAUGAAUUG